GUGCCCACUUAGCAGUACAUACACUAAAAACUGGAACAACACAGAGAUUACCAUGGCCACUGUGCAAUGAUGGCAUACAAAUUUAUGAAUCAAUUCAGACUUUU
ensembl:snRNA U6 U6 spliceosomal RNA